UCUUACGGAUGAGCAGAGAAAGUGGUUUCUUGAGAUGGAAUUUGCUCCUGGUGAAGGUGCAGUGAA
rnacentral:pre_miRNA from 1 species